rnacentral:misc_RNA from 1 species
AAAAAAGAAAAAAAAGAAAAACUUCUGUCACGAUAUGCUUUAUCUCAGUAUUAAAAUAUCAAAAAGUUGAUGUCGAAGUAGAAAUCAUAUUGUUAUCACUUUGCUGAAUUCUCUGGGAAUAAAAGUUCAUUUUUAGGCAUAGAAAAGGCAGAAAACUUUUUUCUUUUAUAUAGUUAUUUUAUUAUUGUGGGAUGCUCUAUCUAGUUCAGGAGCUUCAUCUGGUCAUUCAGUUGGUAAAUUUAAACUGAGACUGCCUUUAUUAUUUGGUCAAUGCAGAAGAAAUUAACCAUAAAAUGUUCAUUCAUUGAAAAAGGUAUCUUAUUGGAGGAAAUAUGUUCAUUCAUUGAAUUAAAAGGUGUGUCUUACCAGAGGAAAUGUGCAUCAUUGUUGUGUUAUCUUGGCAUCCUUUUGAUGGCAUAUGCAAAAUGAUAACAGUUAAAAAGUGUCUAUUCCAUCUGGCAAAGAAAGUGAGUCCGAAGAAAAGGAUUUUUUUUCUUAAAACAUAAAAGGACGAAAUGAUGAUUCCACAUUCUAUCAAUAGUAAAGAAGUUUGAAUUUUCCAAAGCUAUAUUUGCAUGGUGGAGGGGAAACUGGGGUUCAGCUGUCUCGAGUAAAAGAGGAUUAUAAAAUGAGUUACUGGCUAUAGAUUUUUUUUCACCAACUACUAGUUGAAGGUGGACCCUUGCCUUAUUUUUGCAUACUGACUACAACUUGGUGGUCAAAUGCAUGUUCGACAUUUGUUUUCAUCAUGUAUUCCUUUAAUAUAUACCAAAUUUCCUGCUCUUUUCUCUUUCACCUUUUCCUUUUUGGGCUGUUAGAUGUUUGUUCCUUCCACUGGGAGUUGUGCUAUUAUUUUUACAAGAAAAAUAAAUUAUUGUGAACAAUUAUUUGCAAAUUUGAGUCCAG